CGGCCGCGACCGGCGGAGAAGCUGCUUCGUUCUCUGGUCCUCCCCGCCGACAUCAUGCUGCAGUUCCUGCUUGGAUUUACUUUGGGCAACGUGGUUGGGAUGUAUCUGGCUCAGAACUAUGAUAUACCAAACCUGGCUAAAAAAAUUGAAGAGAUCAAAAAGGACUUGGAAGCGAAGAAGAAGCCCCCCAGUUCCUGAGGCCGUCUCCAGCACUGUAUUCUGGACACAUCGAUUUUGCCCUGCCACCCUGGGGAGCUCCUUUACCUCCUGACCCAAAGCUUCUGUUCUUAUCUGUCUCAGCCAUUUCUUACUCGCUAGACCCUGGGUGUUGCCUCAGAGCAGAAAUAGGGCCACAAAUUCAGAACUCCUUUCUGCUUCCAACAGCCUUGCCUCCCCCUAUCUUUCUCUCGUGUACUUGGGAGGCUCUAAGACUGGAAUUAUGGUGCUAGAUUAGCAAACAAGACCUUUAAUUCAUAGUUUCUUUGGAAUUUCUACUCUUUUGUCAAAAGAAAAAUUGAUGAGUUUUGUAUAGCUGAUCGGAUAUAAGUAAUGCUGAUUUCAUAGUUAGCAAUUACAAUGGGUGCUUGUUAAACACUUGUUACUAAAUUUUGUUGCCUCAGAGUAAUUAAAAUGAAUGUGUAGAAGCCAGUUUCUGGUGAAGUAUCCAUUUAUUUUAUACUGCUGUCAGCUCCGUAGUUGAUAAUUAAAUCAAUAAAUCAGUUUGUUAUUUGCUGGGAAGUUA